UACGUAGGGCGCAAGCGUUGUCCGGAAUUAUUGGGCGUAAAGAGCUCGUAGGCGGCCUGUUACGUCUGCUGUGAAAUCCCGGGGCUUAACCCCGGGCGUGCAGUGGAUACGGGCAGGCUGGAGGCAGGCAGGGGAGAACGGAAUUCCCGGUGUAGCGGUGAAAUGCGCAGAUAUCGGGAGGAACACCAAUGGCGAAGGCAGCUCGCUGGGACGGUACUGACGCUGAGACGCGAAAGCGUGGGGAGCAAACAGG
rnacentral:rRNA from 1 species